rnacentral:lncRNA from 1 species
UCGUGUUGAUGUGUGGGGGCAGUCAGCAGUCCCUGUAAGUUGUCGGGGCGUUACAUUGCCUCUCCCUUCCAGUCCAAAUAGUUGUGUCCUGUGAAACCCGAUGCCUACUGCAUAAACCGAAAGACCAUAUGAACCAAGGUUUCAGAAACUCAUGACCCACCUUGACACCUUUACCUAGAGGACCAAACAUGUGAAGACUAGUGAAACCGGCCAAGUCCAUCAUGCAACCUCAAACUCAAAAUGACAUUCACAUAAUUUUACAACAACGUUAAAUUCAAGAAACAAGAAUCAAAAUAAAAUGAAAGAGCACAUCACAUCAUGCAAAUUCAAUGUAGCCUUUGCAGCAAAAUAAAAUAACAGAGCACAUACCUUGGAUUUUUCCUUCCUUCCUUGGGGACGUCUGCUCCCAAGACUCUAUUCCUCCCUUUGUUGCUGCAAUUCCAAUUCCUUCUCAACCUAACCUUAUGUUUUUUGGAAUGGAAGUGAAUUAGGGGUUUUCAUUAUACAUUUGCACACAGUUUAUUCACACAGAAGGACAUUACCUCGUCAUAGACCCACUACACUAGCCUCACCCUGCGAUAGUGGAAGCACUGGUCACGUCGCCACAACACCGUUAACGCACCACCACAACACCAAAGUCACGCUGACACCAUCAUCACACCGUCACAGCACCAUCGUCAGGUCGCCACAACACCGUCAUCACGCCGCAACAGCAACCUCGUCAACAAACACCCUCAAACAACCCCCUCGCAACAAUGUAAUCCGUCAACCACCACCCUCCUCACCGGCA